rnacentral:rRNA from 1 species
ACUCAAAGGAAUUGACGGGGGCCCGCACAAGCGGCGGAGCGCGUGGCUUAAUUCGAUGCAAAGCGCAGAACCUUACCAGGUCUUGACAUGCUCGUGGUAGGACGUAGAGAUACGAACGACCCUUCGGGGAGCGAGUACAGGUGCUGCAUGGCUGUCGUCAGCUCGUGCCGUGAGGUGUUGGGUUAAGUCCCGCAACGAGCGCAACCCGUAUCUUCCUGUUGCCAGCGCGUCAUGGCGGGGACUCAGGAGAGACUGCCGGUGACAAACCGGAGGAAGGAGCGGAUGACGUCAAGUCCUCAUGGCCCUUACGACCUGGGCUGCACACGCGCUACAAUGGCCAGUACAGACCGUCCCGAUACCGCAAGGUGGAGGCAAUCGGAGAAAGCUGGUCUCAGUUCGGAUCGAGGUCUGCAACUCGACCUCGUGAAGUUGGAGUCGCUAGUAAUCGCAGAUCAGAACGCUGCGGUGAAUACGUUCCCGGGCCUUGUACACACCGCCCGU